UACGUAGGGUGCAAGCGUUGUCCGGAUUUAUUGGGCGUAAAGAGCUCGUAGGCGGUUUAGCAAGUUGGGUGUGAAAACUCCAGGCUACAACCGUGGAGAUGCCACCCCAAGAACUGCUAUGACUUGAGUCUGGUAGGGGAGCACGGAAUUCUGGUGUAGCGGUGAAAUGCGCAGAUAUCAGGAGGAACACCGGUGGCGAAGGCGGUGCUCUGGGCCAGUACUGACGCUGAGGAGCGAAAAGCGGUGGGGAGCAAACAGG
rnacentral:rRNA from 1 species